UGUCUCCAGCUGUUGUUGGAUUACAACUCCCACCUCCCCUAGCUAGCAGGACCAGUGGUCAGUGAUGAUGGGAGUUGUAGUCCAACAACAUUUGGAGACCCAAG